UUUUACUUUUUCCGACAAUCGUCAUAAUUGUAGAUUUUAAAUUUACUACCAAAGAACAGAUUAUCUCCAAAAUAUAAACAAGAACCAAAAGCGUCUGGUCAUAAAAGUAACAUGAAAAUGCCACCUCUAUUGCAUUCAUCAGUUAAAAAAGGCAGAAAAGAGACCUAAAGACUUAUAGAGACCUGUGCUUUUUGCCAACUAGAUCUAGUUUGCAAAAAACACAAAUCUCAGAAGGUGUUGGUUCCUACUUCAUCAGCAUUCUGCAAUAACGGAAGAUUUCAGCAUCUCCAGAUCUCAGUAGUAGCAGUAGCUCUAAAACAUUGUCUCUUGCAAGGAAUGAGAACCUUUUAACUAAUAAUACAGAUACAAUAAAUAUGUUGCAUCAUUUCAAAGGUUAUGUCAAAUGGCGUCGUGAGUGAGUACAAAUUAAACGGGAAAAUGGAUAAGCUGUCUUUUUGAAAGACAAAUACAAUGAAGUUAAUCGUCGAAAAAAUAAGAUAAGUUACAAUCAGAAAAAUCAGAGUUAAAGAAAAUAUUAGAAAAUAUAUGAAAUGGUUGUAAGAAACAAUCAUAAAUGGUUGUAGGAAUCACUCAUAUAUUUGCCAUAUAUACUUGUAUAUAUGGCAAAUUAGUUUAUCUACAUAAAUAUUUAAAUUAAAAUCUAGCAACUGUUGCAAAGUCGAAAAAGUAUACACAAAAAGAUAUCGAACAUAGUAUUGGUGUGACUUUAAAACACGCUCGAUUGCGAAAAGGUGGUUUAAAAAAUCCAAGUAAAGGCAACGAUUAGAAAUAAAAUGAAAUUUAUAAAUAUGUUCUUUAAAUAUUGUUAAUCAUUUAAUAUUAUUUAAAUUAAUCUUUUAAUAGUGUUUAAAAAGAUUUUUAUUUUAAUUCUUGUUUUUUAUUUUCCAGAAAUUGAAUUUUUAUAAGAGAAAAUUUUAACUGCAAGCAAUGCUAGUAUAAAACAUUUUUU
rnacentral:lncRNA from 1 species